GGAGGAAUUAACUCAUGUACAUACAGAAAAUCUCCACAGACUUGUCUUCCAAUAUUUGUUCUGGAAACUGGAACACACAGAUAAGGCAAGCGCCUGACAUUGGAACUGCAGAAUAAAUUUGCAUUCUCCACGCCACAAAGAGCCCCAUUCACACAGCACUGGGGGAGGCGGCAGGAAGAGGGAAAACCUACUCUCGGCAAAAGGAAGGGUCUGACGGUCUUUCCUCCAGGAGCAAGUUCUCUCAGGCGAGAUCUCAGCCUGUUAGCACCCAACAGCCUAAAACCCUGGAGUCUUAGACCCCUCAGCCCUUGACUUAUCACUUAAUAGAAUCUUAAGACCAAAAAAUUUCAAGUCAGAAUCACAAGACUUUAGGAUUUAAUCAUUAUCCUGGCCACACCCUCAACCAGCACAGGAGUCUGCUCCAUCCUACACCAAGCCUCCAGGCUUUGGAUCAGCCCCAUGGCCACCUCUUCAGGGCAGCCCUCCUUGAUCCCUGAUCAUCCUGAUGAGAAGAACUUGGAGCAGGACCUGAGUGAGAAAAGGAACAAGCCAUUAAAAAUGGGGUAGGGGAAGAUUGUGUCUGUCUGGAUCAAGGCAACAGAUAGUGCAAAGGUCCUGGGAUAGGAAUGUACUUCAUGUGUUUGAGGAAUAGUGAGACUCGGCUUCUAAAUGUGCGAUGAGACAGGAAAAGCAGUGAGGCCAGAAGCUAGAGGAGCCUGUGACUAGACUCUGCUCUGCCCUGCCAUGCUGUGCACCUCCCUGAGCCUCCAUGGAUCCAUCAGGACAGACGAAGAACUCCACUUGCUUCCAGACCCACGGGUGGAGCCUGGUGAAGCCUGGAGGUCCUCCCAAGACCAGGCCACUUAGUUCCAGCUUCUGCCCCAGAGCUGUCCAGAUCCUCAAGGGCAAGGAUUUGUAUCUGUCUGUCUAUCGCUGCAUUUCCAGCGUCUGGAACAGCGCCUGUCAAUACGUAUUUUGUGGAAUGAAUUGUCUGCGUGGUGAGCAUCUUUUCUUGAGCACCCACUGGGUUCUGGCCUUGAGCUAGGCCUUAGGGACACAAUAUUGAAUCAGGUACAGUUCGUGCCCUUAGGGGCUCGCUGUAGGGGAGGAGGACAGACGCAUUAUAAUCAUCAUAAUCACCAUCAUUUCAGUGGCAAUACCAUCACCACCAUUUACUGAGCCUCUCCUAUGCACACAGGGCUUUGCAUUUGUCAUUUCAUUUCAGCCUCCAAAGUUCACAAAGGGUCCAUAUGAUGAUGCCGAUUUCAUAGGUGAGAAACUUAAAGCUCAGAGAGGUGAAUGACUUGGCCGAGUUCACAGAGAUGGUACCAGAGCAGAGGUGGGAUUUGAACCAAGGUAUUCUACCGACAUACACCAAGCACAGUCACUCAAACAUGAGAGGUCAGGUAGAUGAGGUGGGAGCUGCCCCAGUGAGGUACUCACAAAGGCCCUGAGGUCGGAGGAAGUGAGUCUGGGAAGGUGUCUGCGUAUUGCACCAGGGAGGGUGUGGCUGAAAAGAAGGCACAGACCCUCCCUGCAGAGCCAGUGUCAAGGUCAGCAUGCAGUUAGGUCAGAGUGCAGGGUGGUGUAGGGGAGAGGUGGGGGGUGCUGGGUCGGGUCAGGGUCCCUGCAAAGAAACAGAGGGCUCCCCACGCAGGGCACUUUAGGGGACACCGCUGAUGAGGGUAUGGGUGGAGUUAGAGAAACACAGGGAAGGUGUGGGGCCCAGGCUGUCAACAACAGGAGUCUUCACUGUGCCUGAGCCUGAAGGAAGGCAGGGAGAGCUGCAAGGUGGGGAGGGUGCCCCAUGGGGGUUGUGGCCUUUGGGAGAGGGUGCACCUGCUCCUCAGACACUAGGGAGGGAGACAGGGAGAUAAAACACCUGACCUCCUCUGCCUCUGGUCUCCUGCUGGUCCUCCCAGGGGCCAAGCUCAAUCGGAAGCCAGAGGGCCCUGGUGCCCAUUGGUGCCUCUGUGUGGUCAGCGUUUGGGGCCACAGGCAGGGUGGUGGUGAUGUGGGGACAUGCGGUCUCUUGCUGGGUGAAGACGGCAGAGAUACUGAGCAAAGGGCUUAGGCUCCUGGAGAUGGGAGCUUUGAAUGGUUGUCAAUGUCAGGCCGAAAUAGUCACUUAAUCAUUCAAACGUUUAUUGACUCUGGAUCAGGCUCUGAGAGGACCCUGGGGAGUCAGAGAGAUAACAGGAGAUGCUUGUUUCCUGCCUCCUAGCCCUCUGCCAGUACUCACUCCCUUCCUUCUCACAGGCCCUGACAGGUAGGUGUCAGCAUCACCCCAUUUGAAACACUAGGGAACCUAGAUGCUGCAUGACAAACUCAUUUGCUCCUCGUCCAACUGUAAGUGGUGACGCUGAGCUAGAACUGGAGCUCUCUGCCCCCAGUGCCCAGGCUCUGACCACCAGAUCAUACCACCACAUAUCAGCGGGAUGAGAAACAUGGUCCCCAUCCCCUGGGUCUCAUUAGGAGAGAUACCUAAACAGACUACAGCAACACCUAGAGCUGAGGACCAUUCCUGAAGGUGCUCGAGGCACUCCUUCCACUCAGGACAAGAGCGCAGGAUUCCUGGAGAGGGUGGCAUUUCAGCUGGGGUGCUGAGGGAAGCAGAGGAGUUCACAGGGCAGUCGAGGCAUGUAGAGGAGAGGGCAUGUCAGGCAGUGGACACAGCAUGAGCGAAGGGAUGGAGGGAAGAAACAGUACCAAGUGUGCAGGGAACUGCAAGCAAGUUGGUAUUGCUGGGGCGUAAAGUACGAGAAAGGACGCAGGGGGACAGGAGCAGCUCAUAGGUAACCCUGCUGAGUUAUCUCAGUCCUGGUCUAAGACACCCUAAGGGCCAGGGUCCAUGUUACUCCCCUGCUUAAGUCCCUGUACAGGACUCAUAACGAGUCCAGAGAUUCAGGAUGGUUCUCAAGAUUGCUGGUGCUCGGGUUCUGCUGUUAGCCACCUGCCUUGGUUUCCCCAGCUUGGCAGAGUAAUUAACAGUGAUAAUGCAAGGAUUUUGGAGUUUGCCAGACCUGAGUGAACUCCUGGUUUAGCUUAGCUUUGUGAUAUGGGACAUGUCACUCAACCUCUCAGUGCCUCACUUUCCUACCUAUGAAGUAGAAAUAAAAUGAUAUAGGGUUGUGCUGAAAAUUAGAUG
ensembl:lncRNA